rnacentral:rRNA from 1 species
GAACAACUCUCAACAACGGAUGUCUUGGCUCGUGCAACGAUGAAGAACGCAGCGAGAUGCGAUACGUAGUGUGAAUUGCAGAUAUUCGCGAAUCAUCGAAUCUUUGAACGCAUAUUGCACUUGUACUUCGGUACAAGUACGUCUGCCUGAGCGACGGUG